CUGACUUACUCAAGAUCAGCUUGUCAUUGCCUUCAGAGACAAAAGAAACUUUCCAUGCAGGACUCACUGCCUUUUUGUUCAGCAAAACUAAAAACAGAGCUCCAGCUGCAUGUUCUCUAGGGCAGAGAAUCGGCAAAAAACAGCAGUGGAAAAAGUGAACUCGGUGGUAUCUGAAUUUCUGCGAACUGCAUGUUUAAACUCUGGAAAUAAUUUUGAUCACUUUUUCAGCUUCAAUUUUACUCCCAAGCAUUAAAAUAAAAAACAGAGCAUGUGUAGUGUGCUACUGGAUACUGGUGCGGUCCUUUUACCAGUUUCAAUUCCUGUAUUUGUUCAUUUUCUCAACUUUCAUGUUGUGAUACAGAGUGUUAGAUGAAUUAAAGAGGAAAAGACAGUUAUUUCUCCCUUCUAAUCUACUACACUUUUCAGUUGGAAUCACUACUUUUGUGUAGCCCAUUGGAUCUCUCUAAUAGGAAAGAUUUUCAGAUACUAAAUGUAAAAUUUCCCUUUCCAAAUUCUAUCCAGGAACACAGUCUGUGCACAGGUGACACUUUCAAUUCUUUUCCUAAUUUCAACUCCAGAGUUACCUAUGGAUUAGACUGACUUUCAUUUUUCCCCUGAGAAAUCUUGUAGCCAUGUUAUGUAUGUGUGGCUUUCAUGUAAGGCAGACUGGUUUACUUUUCACUAGUUUUUUCCUCUUUGCUCAGCAUUUUUUAGUUAAUGCUUUUGGGUACUGAGGUACAGCUUUGAAAUGAUUAAGCAAUAAAAGGGAGGAAGUGUUACUGUUUUCACUUUGUUGUCAUGAUGCCUUUUGCAUGGGCAAUGCCAGACUAUAUUGUAUGCUUUUGUAGCCAUUUUGUAUGCUAAAUUCGUACCUGUUUUGCAGCCCAGGUCCAGCUUCUGCUCCCAAGUUUCUCCUUGCUUUUUUACCUAAAAUUCCUAUUUUUUUCCAACAUGUAUGUGCUUCUAAUCCAGAGCUCUUUUCAUUAGUGUGCAAUUCUUUCUUUUUAAGUUGUUUAACAACAUACUAAAUGAGGCUGAUGUUGAUAUUAGGCCUGGUUAGACUUCCCUGUCAAGGAUCAAAUGCGCUUUAUCCUCCAAGUGUUUUGGAGGUACAUGCGAUGGCAAAGCAAACCCAGCAUUCCAUUGACUAGCUAGCUAGCAAUCAGUAGUGUGUUACUAAAUUGAUUGUAAUACUGUUCUAUUGUCAUGAAGUUACUCUCAGUUUGGAGUACAAGGUUAACUGGGUUUUGAGUUACCAAAGUAAAAGAACAUGCUGUGAUUCGUAGAUUGUCUUUACUGUUCUUUCCUUUGCUGCCUUGUAAAGGAAGCUUGUAAAGUGUAUGGAGAAAGAGGAUGGACCUGUUCUCACUGUUUUGUUUAAUUGGUUUUUUCCCUAUAAGUUCAUAGUCCUGAUUGUGUUUCUGUACACUUUUCUGCUCUUUCUGCACAAGCUCAUGAGACUCUUUAUAGAACAUUCUGCAAGUCCUAUUAUUAUGAAGUAAUAGGGUAUCAGUGUUGGAAGUGACACAUAUUGUCACCUUCCUAUUUUGAAGCAAGGAUUUGUUGCUGGAAAUGACAGGAUGAAUGUUAGAAAAUUGAAUCUUAUAAAAGUAAAUAUUGUUAAUAAAGCAAGGUGUAUACAGUAUUGUGGUUUCUUUGUAUGUUUUGCUCCUCAAUCAGAUCAGCUGUAUAAAACUUACAAAAUGGAUUAUUUUAUUUCACUAUUUUAAAUCAACAAUAAAAUUGUGUUAUUUCCUCUGAAAACUUAAGGCCAUAGUUUAAUCUAGCUGUAAUGAAAACAGUUGUGACCAGUAGUUGUAGGAUGUUGUGCUCUUUGCUUGUAUUCUGUGUUCUAUGUAUCAAGAGGAACAAAGUGCAUCUUUUUAUCCUUUUUUCUUUUUU